GGAGGAGUGGCAGAGCGGUUGAAUGCGGCGGUCUUGAAAACCGUUGACCUGAAAGGGUUCUGGGGUUCGAAUCCCUACUCCUCCGCCA
rnacentral:tRNA from 1 species